rnacentral:rRNA from 1 species
AAAACUUUCAACAACGGAUCUCUUGGCUCUCGCAUCGAUGAAGAACGCAGCGAAAUGUGAUAAGUAAUGUGAAUUGCAGAAUUCAGUGAAUCAUCGAAUCUUUGAACGCAUCUUGCGCUUGCUGGUAUUCCGGCAAGCAUGUCUGUUUGAGUGUUGUGAACUUUUCAACCCCCCAUUUUUCUUUACUGAGAUUUGGGUGUGGCUUGGUUUCUGAACGUUUGCUGGGCUGGUCUCCCUUGGGAUUCCAAAGUCGAAGCUCGUUUGUAAUGCAUUAGCAUCCUAAUCUUCGAGAUCAGAUUGACUCGGCGUAAUAGACUAUUCCGCUGAGGACAUGGCACCUGUUAACUCGGGUGUGGUGGCUGGCCUUGGAAAAUUGGAAGCUUAGAAAACCCGUCGGAUUUUAAGAUUAGACCUCAAAUCAGGCAGGAUUACCCGCUGAACUUAAGCAUAUCAAUAAGCGGAGGAAAAGAAACUAACGAGGAUUCCCCUAGUAACGGCGAGUGAAGCGGGAAAAGCUCAAAUUUGUAAUCUGGUGCCUUUGGCGUCCGAGUUGUAAUCUCGAGAAGUAUUUUCCGCGCUGGACCGCACAUAAGUCUGUUGGAAUACAGCGUCAUAGUGGUGAAAACCCAGUAUAGGGUGCGGAUACCCAGUGCUUUGUGAUAUACUUUCAAAGAGUCGAGUUGUUUGGGAAUGCAGCUCAAAUUGGGUGGUAAAUUCCAUCUAAAGCUAAAUAUUGGCGAGAGACCGAUAGCGAACAAGUACCGUGAGGGAAAGAUGAAAAGCACUUUGGAAAGAGAGUUAACAGUACGUGAAAUUGUUGGAAGGGAAACACUUGAAGUCAGACUUGCAUUUUGGAGUUCAGCCGCAAGGUGUAUUCUUCAAUUCGCAGGCCAGCAUCAGUUUUUGGGGGUGGAAAAGCGCGGUUUGAAGGUAGCAGUUUCGGCUGUGUUAUAGCUUUCCGCUGGAUUCAUUUUUGGGGACUGAGGGAUGCAGUACGCUUUUUGCAAGACUUUCGAGUCUUUCGUACUUAGGAUGCUGGUGGAAUGGCUUUAAAUGACCCGUCUUGAAACACGGACCAAGGAGUCUAACAUGCUUGCGAGUGUUUGGGUGUUAAACCCGGACGCGUAAUGAAAGUGAAUGAAGGUGGGAUCCGCAAGGUGCACCAUUGACCGAUCUGGAUUUUCUAAGAUGGAUUUGAGUAAGAGCAAUUAUGUUGGGACCCGAAAGAUGGUGAACUAUGCCUGAAUAGGGUGAAGCCAGAGGAAACUCUGGUGGAGGCUCGUAGCGGUUCUGACGUGCAAAUCGAUCGUCAAAUUUGGGUAUAGGGGCGAAAGACUAAUCGAACCAUCUAGUAGCUGGUUCCUGCCGAAGUUUCCCUCAGGAUAGCAGAAGCUCAUAUCAGUUCUAUGGGGUAAAGCGAAUGAUUAGAGGCCUUGGGGUUGAAACAACCUUAACCUAUUCUCAAACUUUAAAUAUGUAGGAAGUCCUUGCUACUUAAUUGAGCAAGGACAUGCGAAUGAGAGUUUCUAGUGGGCCAUUUUUGGUAAGCAGAACUGGCGAUGCGGGAUGAACCGAACGUGAGGUUAAGGUGCCGGAAUACACGCUCAUCAGACACCACAAAAGGUGUUAGUUCAUCUAGACAGCCGCACGGUGGCCAUGGAAGUCGGAAUCCGCGAAGGAGUGUGUAACAACUCAACGGCCGAAUGAACUAGCCCUGAAAAUGGAUGGCGCUCAAGCGUGUUACCCAUACCUCACCGUCAGCGCUUUCGAGACGUUGACGAGUAGGCAGGCGUGGAGGUCCGUGUAGAAGCUUUUGCAGUGAUGCAGAGUGGAACGGCCUCUAGUGCAGAUCUUGGUGGUAGUAGCAAAUAUUCAAGUGAGAACCUUGAAGACUGAAGUGGGGAAGGGUUCCAUGGUAACAGCAGUUGGACAUGGGUCAGUCGGUCCUAAGAGAUAGGGAAAUUCCGUUUAAAAGUGUGCGCUUGUUCGUACCACCUAUCGAAAGGGAAUACGGUUAAAAUUCCGUAACCGAGAUGCAGAUUCUGAACGGUGACGUAAAUGAACUUGGAGACGCCGGUAAGGGCCCUGGGAAGAGUUAUCUUUUCUCCUUUACAACCUAUAACCCUGGAAUCGGAUUAUCCGGAGAUAGGGUUUAAUGGUUGGUAGAGCAUUGCAAUUUUGUAAUGUCCGGUGCGUCCUUAACGGCCCUUGAAAAUCCGAGGGAAUGAAACAGUCUUGCACUCGCUGGUAUAUGGGUCAGUCGGCCCUAAGAGAUAGGGAACUCCUUUCCAAGAUGUCCGCUUGUUUGCACCAUGUGGACCUUGUAGCAAGAACAAUACCUGCCCGUGGUGCCCCUGCUAAGAUCCCAAUGUGUUAUACGCAUUGAUCGAACUAAAUUGACAUAUACUUGUGGCAGAAUUCCUGGCGGAGCUGGUAGAAAUAAUGUGCUAAACUGCAAUGCAGUCCCAUAUACUGUCUCUGGGGGGAUGGGUGAAGGCGGAGCCCUGCCCCCCCAGGCUUGGAGAGAGCCCGAGAGGUGCAUCUUUUCCAGGUCUGUGAACAUCCUUUUGGGCUGACCAUUGCUGCCUAUGGACCCUGUGCAGAAUUAAUUGAUUGCUCAAAGAUGGCCAAAACCAAGCUGGCAACGCCCACCCCUGGGUCACCAGGGGCAGGACUUUCUGCAAAUGAUGGAACUAGGAAAAAAGAAUCAACAAAGAAAAGGGGGCGAAAGGAACGAGGGGGGAUCUCCCCCCUCAAGGAGCCAGGUAUUAGUGAGUGUUAUUAACUCUCUAGCCAUGUCCCUGGACUAAUUGCUGACUUCUCUCUGCAAUGGAGGCUCUACUGGUGGGAGCAAGAAGCUCAAAAGGAUGGGUGGUUCACCAAGUUUGGGCGCGGACACCUCUGAAAAGAUGGACCUGGUCACAGGUGUGCUUGAUGAGGCGGGCAAUGAAGGGUGGCAGAUGGACAAGGGGGGGAAGAAGGCAGCAAAACGCGCUGCCAAAUUGGCGAAAAAGGCUGCCAAGGCCUUGGAGAGUCAAUCUCUGGAGGAGGCCCAGCCUCAUGCUCUUGUGCAUGACCCCUCUCGUCAGGUAGUGGCCCUGCGGAAAGGGCCUACGACUGUUCCGCCUGCGGCCCAGAUUGACAAGUCCGCUGCAUUGGAGGGAAAAAAGGGCGCCUCAAUUGCCCCACACGAGGGGUUUCAAUUUUCGUUUGGCAACCAGAAGGCUAUGUCAGGAUCUAUGGUGGCAGCUGCUGAGGCAACAGCGGAGGAUUGCUCAAUGGAGCCCCUCAAGGUCAUGAUGGGCCCAAAGAAGCCCAGCAAGAAUCAAUUGAGGAAGAUGGCUCGUAAAAAGAGCCUGGCUAAGAAGGCUAAGAUCGAGAAGAAGAAGGGUGAGAUGGCCCUAUUGGACUCUAGUCUUGAAACUGAAUACCUGGCUGAUUAUG